CUGAAUCUGUAACAAAUUAACACCUCAUUACAGGAAGGAACAGCCUGGAUAUUUAAUAAUUCAUCGUCAUCAGUUCACUCAUCUGCCCUGUCAUUUAAAAAUACGCAAAAAGACCUGUAGCCCCAUUGUAUUACCCCAGUUUUACACCAGUCUGAAUCUACUGUCACGAUGGGGUAAAACUGAAGUAACAAGGUGGUGAAUUAGGCCUAAAUCACAAAGCUCUGGUUCCAUAAUUUUCUUCUGGCCUGAGUCAGGUUGGUAUAACUGGUUAUUGUUGCUAUAUAAUUUUAAAACACACUGUGGUCAUCACAGCCUCUCUAAAUAUAGGGGAUUAUUUUCCACUUGCAGAAAUGACAUAAUUAGGUGUGAAAAACGUGCUCACCAAGGAUGUCAGUAUGUGUCACUGGCUCAUUGAGGACAACAGGUCUAAGAUAUCUACAGCAAUAAUGGACCCUCAGGAAACGUACACUUCUGUUUAUGGUGUGUUCAGAGUUCUCAAAAAACUGGACAAGAUGGAGCUGAAGGGCCAAAUUCUGCUCUCAGCUGCACGAAUGUAAAUCUGGGAUAACUCUAGUGGGCCCAGGGAUGCUCCCAGUUAAUGACAAACUCCCAGGGACAUCCAGAGAGCAGCAUCAGGUCCACUUAUUGCAGCUUACACCAGUGUAAUUAAACAUAGAAUUGGACCACACAACUUUCACUGAAGUCAUUGAAGACUGCACCCAUGUAAUGGAACUGAGUUAGAUCUGAAGAAAAUGGGAGGCAAGACAGAGAAGCGAGGGGAAGGAACAGAUUCAGGUAUUGUUAGCUGCCCCUAUAGUAUGGGGUGAUGUAAUAUGGCAGUGAUUAUACAGAGAAACAGGGGUAACUGUUGAGGCAGAAGAAGAAUCAAUCAACAUAACCAUUAAUGAAAUGAAGUUUAGAUUCUAAUUACAACCUGCCCUAGAUAAGGGAUGGUGUAUGGCUGCACUGGACCAGGCACAAAUGUGAUUCAGGGACUCACACUUCAUUCCCUGUUCCUUCCGUGCGCUGGGGAGGGAGUACAUUACUUCAGCUUUUUCACAGAGGAGCUUGCUCCCACUCUAUAUCUCAGACCAGCUAUUCUGGACAGAAUGUAGAGGUGCACAGGAGACAGAACACCCAUUUGCUUACAGCAGGGAGUACUAGGUAAGCAGCUUCUUCUCUCACCACCAUGGCGAGAAUUGCAAUCUGUGCAUGAGCAAACAGGGGCAUACAUGGUUAGGGAAGAGUUGUGACAGUCUAGCCCAUAGUGAUAAUGGCCCUAUGACAAAACUCCAAGGGAUGCAAAAUGAGACAUUAGCUUCCGAGUCUAGAGAGAUGGAAACUCCAACCAAAACUAGUACUCAUCUUUAACAGGAUAUCAUGUGAAUGAAAUCAAAACUUUCGAAAAAUCCUCAGAUAUUUUUAUAGGUGGCCUCUAAAAAUUAAUCUUCAUCCAUUUAGGGCUAUACUUUCUGAUAGUCUGUUUUAGAUACAUUAAAGUACCUAGAUACUAUAUAAUAAUUAGGAAAUUAGCACAAUCAUGAAUUGUGAGCCUAGAUGGUAAAUAUGUUUCUAAUGUGCUUAAAACAAUUUUUAUUUUAGGGUUUUAGAAUUGAACAGGUUGUGCUUUUUUUUUUUUUUUAAUGUUUUAUGGCAGUACGUGAUUUUGUGGUUUUGGCACAGAUAAGAUAGUGAGCUAAGGCACAUCUGUUUCCUAGUAAUGAACUACCACUCCAUUCCUAUUCCACAUUAAUUCAACAGCAUCUAAAUGAAUUUUCAGCAGGUAGCACAUUAAUGUGAAAGAUUUGGCAACUCUUCAGAAAUAGAUCAUACUGGCCUGUUCAUUUCAUCACAAAAUUAUUACUUCAAGCCUUGGGGUGGGGUGGGAUUGGGAGGGAUGAUUGCAAGUAUGAAAUUUGAAGGUACAAAUGUUUGCUGUAGUAUCUUUGUUAGUUAUACAUUCUUUAUGGUACUCUCUUUCAGGUCUGUUAUGAAUUAUGUGAAUCAUGUUGUGCUGUCAUGGUGACUCAGAGUUCCACAGGUUAACUAGAUACGGUGGUCAGAAAUGGACACAGCAUUCAAAGCAAGGGACCCUACUGAACUGGAUAAUGGCACUGUAAUAUAGUCAAUAUGAUUUUUGUGCAACAUACUGCAUCCUAAUAUGCAGUUUGCUCUUUUUGACUUGCACAUUACACAGAGGUUUUCACUUAGCCAUCUACAGUGGCUCCCUGACCUUUUUCCUAAGUAAUUAUAGUUCAUUUAGUCCCCGCUAGUAUGAGUAUUUUAAAUGUUUCCUUCCAAUGUGCAUUACCUCCCAUUUGUCAAAAGUGAAUUUCAUUUGCCAUCCUUGCUGCCCAUUCAGCUGGUUUUGUUAGGCCACUCUGGAGUACCUCACAUUCUUCCCUAAUCUUGAUUUACUUAAAUCAUGUUGUAUCUUCUUACUGUUCACUGUCUUUUCUAGACCAUUAAUGAAUAUUUUACAGAACAUUAGCACUAUAAUAGCUCGAUGGCUCACCUUUUGCUACAUGAAAAACUGAGUAUUUAUCCCUGCUCUUUUCUGUCUCUUAGCCAACUCCUUAUUCAUAACACAGAACUUUACCUUCACCCCGACUAGUUAAUUUGCUUAAUAGCUUCUUGUAAGGGACUUUGUCAAGGUAUUAGGAAAGUCCAACUAAAUUAUAUCUACCAGUUCUCCUUCAUCUACUAGUUUGUUGACUCAAAGAAUUCCAGCAGACUGGAGCAGCAAUUUUUCCCAUUAUAAACAUCAGACGUUGAAACAAAAUUAAUGACUUACAAUGUAUGGAAGUAAAUAUAGCUGCUACUGAUUUUACUUGAUCCUCCCUGUGCCAUCUCAUUCAGUACAAUUUAGGAACAAGUUUUCCUUAAAUAUUGUUUUAAAUUGUUUUCAACUUCUAGAGAAAGUGAUGAGGUGACUUGAUCUCUGUCCAUAUAUACCACAGAGAAUGUAUCUGGUAUGAGGGAACCUUUUCAUUUAGCAGACAACUGCAUAAAUAAAUCCAAUGGCUGGAAGCUGCAAUUAAAUUCAAAUUGGAUAUAAGAUGCAAUUUUUAAUUUCAGGGAGGUUGACUAAGCAUCAGAGCAUCUGCCUAAAGGAAGUGGUGAAUUCCCCAUCAUUUGGAAUAUUUAAAUCAAGACCAGAUGUCUUCCUAAAAAGAUAUCCUCUAGUUCAGCCACAAGUUAUUGGGUUUGCUAUAUUUUACUCAUAUAGCAGGAAAGAAUAAUUCUCUCCACUGUAGGAAUUACUGUGUAAUUCUAUGGCCCGUUAUAUGGGAAUUCAGACUAGAUAAUCAUAAUUCUUCCUAUGGAUUGAUGAACUUUAAAAAACAGGAAAUUCAUCAAUUUUACAUAUAUCUAAUUUUUGCUCAGCAUACACAUGACCUGUCGCUUUUUCAAACGAAAGAAACAAUGAGAUUUCCCCCCUUGCUUUGUGGAAAAGUCAGUUGGUUCCCCUUACCCCAGGUGGAUGAUGCAGAACAGGAUAAUCAGUGUGAAAACUUAGCUUCCCAGAUGUGUAAGCCACAUUAUUAGCAUCAAUUUUGUCUUCCACUUGCCAAGUAGGGCUUUACAAUGAAAGGAGAAAAAAAAAAAGAGGAAACAUGUUAAAGCCAUCUGCCAUUUAAGCCAGUGAAGUACAAUGAAACUAUGAAAUCUCAAUACAAAAGAGCUAUUAAAAAUUUCUGAAUAUAGAAUUAUUGUUAUACUGAGAAGGGAACAAUGAGUCACCAGUGCCUCUCACAGCACUGAACCGGACAUUUCAGCAACUGUGCAACAGAAGCAAUCACUUCAAAAAUGAUGCUAGUCUGAGUAGAGUAGGCCAGACAAGUUGCCCCCAGUGCUGUUCCUCUGAGGCUAUUGCCUUUACUUUUCUCGUAAAAGCUCUGAGGACUGUAUUGUGUCAACAUUCAGCGGAAGGACAGGACAGAACCUCAGCUGGUGUAAACCAGCAUAGCACCUAUUGGAGUUGCACAGGUGUAAGGGAGGACAGAAUUUUUGGCACGUUUUGUUCAAUUUUGCCGUUUCCAUUCCCCAAGUUGGUCUGUGUUACAAAGAAAAAGUGGAAACACUGUAAGUUGCAUGUCUUUUUCAAUGAAUUUUAAGCCUUUAAAUGACAGGGAAAAUGUCAAAUACAGAGUACCCUUUACAACAUGGCCUUUCCCAUAUUACCUUCAAAGAAAAAUCUCCGAAUGAAAGACGUCAAGAUAUAAUUUCUUGCCUUUCCUUUCGUACUUUCUGAGAGCUAGUCCCAUUAUUUUACCUCUACAUUUUUAUUAAAUUUCAAGAUGGAUGAACUAAAAUCAGUAUGAGUCUUGCUGACAACAGCAACAAAUUAUAUAUUGUAAGGUGGUUGAGUACAAAGACAUGCAGACAUCACAUUGCAAUGCAGUCAAAAUAUGUUUCAAAUGACACACCAUGCAGCAAAGUCUAAGGCCAAAAACCACAUGUUCUGGUUUGCACAAAGUUCAUACAAUUGAAUACAGUUCAUGGCAAAUGUGUAAUAUAGAUCCAGACACUUGUCUGGGAAGUGCAAGUCAACAUAUGCAGUCCAUGUAAUCACUGAAGAAGACAUAAUUUAAAAAGAAAAAUAUGAAAACCCAUUUCCCCAUGUGAAUUACUGCAGACUAAAUAUACAAAACACAAGGCAUUUGAAAUAUAGAGAUAAUGCUUAUUUUUUAUAAAAUGCCCAGGUUAAACUCGAAAACACAGUUCAAAAUGAUUUAUAUAUUGUAUACAAAAACUUUUGCUUUGGGACAAGGAUUUUUAAGUAUAGGAAUGCCAAACAAUGCUAAAGGCAGAUUUAUAAAAUUGCUGGGAAGAAACCCCAGAAUAAUAUUAACAAAUGUGUUAAACUGUCAUGGGGAAAUUCAUUUAAUUAUAUGGUAUAGUAAGUAUUCAUCAUAUGCGACUUCAGUUCUACAAUAUGAAGACCUCAACCACAUUUGCACAGUUACUAAUUUUAAGAAAAAAAAAGAAAAGAAAAAAGUGUUAUGUCAUCCUUUGUCAUUAGUGUUGAGGGUAGCUUUGUCAUGGCAGGCUCCAGAGCAAUUUAAUGGCUCCAAAGCACUUUAAUCUACUAUAAUACUCUUGCUUCUGAGAAAAUAUACAUCUCUGGUGAAAUAAAAAUACAUGAUAGAAUUACUGUGACAUUUUACAAAAAGGCAUGUUCAUUCUGUUAAAUAAGGUAGUGCUAUGGGAGUUAAUCCACUGGAACAUUGGUUUCAUGUAAGGAGAUUCUAUCAAAGAUCAAGUUACUAAUUUACAGCCAAAUAUUGAUUAAAUGCAAAAAGCUACAUUAAUGCAAUGUCCAGCUUGAAAAUGUAAUGCAGAGAAGUUAGGAAAUUCAAAUCUUAACAUUGCUAAAAGAGGUAAAACUCAGUAACAGGGAGAGUUGCUGUCAGAUGAGAGUGCUGGUGCAAGAGGUAGAGGAGGAAAAGGUGGGUAAUCCCAGAGGACUCUGAUCUCUCAACAGAGAACAAAAUGGGCUGGGCAUGGUCUAUGGAUCAGUAACAAAGGUCAGAUUACAACUUCAGUUGCACAGCCUGCAUGGCAGAAAAUCAAGCACUGUGCAGGUACAACAAUCGUGUGUGUUACCUAGCAAUACAUACAGCCCACCUGAGCUGAGAAGCUAGCCUGUUAGCUGUGACUGGGAAUCAUUGACACUGAAAUCUGACACCACACUGAAACUCAGGCCAUAAUUAUUAAAAGGUUCUGGAACCCAAGCCCAGUUUAGCAAAAAUAUACCAUAUUUUUGUAUCAGAAAUGGGAAAACUCGGCAUGAAGGGGUUCUCUGGCCAUUGAAAAACAUAAUCAAAUAUAUCUUUAAAAAUAUUUGACUUAGAGGAAAAUAACAGUGAGAGUUUCUGGCUUUAUAAGAGGUAUAGAGAGACUAUGGGCUUGUCUAAAUGAUGGCAAACCACAAAAAGGAGCAUAAUUUGUGAAGUGCUCUAAUGUGUUGUGCUCUAAUUCCCCAUGUUGGCACCCUCUGAAAAAUACCUACAUCUCAUUGGUGUGGUCCCGUUUCAGCUACACCAGGAAUCUCUUAUGUAACUAUUUGUCCAAGCUUUCUCAACUGACUGAAGCAGGAAACCCCCAUUCUUAGCCAAUCGUCUUCUGCCUUACAGCUGCAGUAUCUGGGAAGUGCAAUUUGUCUGAUCCACUCAUCCAGAACAUCAGUGACUGAAUGGAAACCCUGUAUAGUAUAGCGACAUACACAGAACUUGGAGGGAGCAGCACAGGUUGAAGAAAAAAAGAACAGUUUGGAAGAUGCACCAGAAAGCCAGUCUGUGUGCCUGUGGCUGGCAUGCAGACAUAAAACAUACAGUAACCCUAAAUAUUUUGGUAGGGACACCUUUAAAAAUGAAUGAUGAUAAAUAAAAGUAAAUGUACAUGAUUUCUGUGCUCCAAAAGGACAUCUGUGCAAGAUUAAAGACUUGUGCUUCUUUUUUCAUUUGUGGGAGCUGCAUUUACUGUUGUUCUGUUAUUGGGAGAAUCUGCAAACUGGUUGGCAUAUUAAUUUAGCAAGGUUGCCAAUCUGAAAUGUAUAGUUUUGUUUACAGUGUUUAUUAGACCUUUGGAUUUGAGUGCUAUUAAAAUAACAAGAAAUUAUUAUGAA